GAUGAACGCUGACAGAAUGCUUAACACAUGCAAGUCUUUGGCGAAGCUGUGCUUGCACCGCCUAGCCAAGGCGGACGGGUGAGUAACGCGUAAGGAACUUGCCCUGCAGUCAGGGAUAACAGACGGAAACGACUGAUAAGACCUGGUAAAGUCAGGCGGACUCAUGUCCAGCCUGAUGAAAAGAGAUGCUGCAGGAGAGCCUUGCGUCCUAUUAGCUUGUUGGUGGGGUAACGGCCCACCAAGGCGAUGAUAGGUAGCCGGCCUGAGAGGGUGGACGGCCACAAGGGGACUGAGAUACGGCCCGUACUCCUACGGGAGGCAGCAGUGGGGAAUAUUGGACAAUGGGGGCAACCCUGAUCCAGCCAUUCUGUGUGCACGAUGAAGGUUUUCGGAUGGUAAAGUGCUUUCAGCAGGGAAGAAAAAAUGACGGUACCUGCAGAAGAAGCGACGGCUAAAUACGUG
rnacentral:rRNA from 1 species